rnacentral:lncRNA from 1 species
AACCAUUAUGUUUUAACAAGCAUAACUCCAUCUCGCAAUUCAGACCUCUGUAGUUUGUACUCGUUAUAUUUUGUUUUUGGAUUUGUCUACCCUAAAAUACAUCCAAGCUGAAAUAUACGACGGAAGAUGGACCGAAGUGGGCCAGUCAUCGCUCCGUUUUAUUAGGGGCUGUUAGGCAUUUUUGCAAGGUUGUGAAGAAGGAAUCAAAUCUUGAUCAAAAUUUCCAAGCAAAAUCAAUCGGUGCCGAUACGGCACACGUGUGUGGGUCCUGUUGUGACUCAAACACCUUUUUCACAUAAAGUCCCGACUUGACUCUGAUGAACACACCGAAACCACGGAGUGUCAUCACGUGGUUGGAGGAUUAUGGGCAUCGGCUUUUAUUCCACCUCGCGACCUAUGAUCAUCAUCAUUCUGUAAUGCCAAAACGCGGCAUCUUGGUAAACAUGUUUACUAUAAUUUGAUCUAAUUUUCUUUAUAUUUCUGUUAUAAUCUAAUACGAAAUUCAAUCAAAUAAAAGAUGUCAUCAACCUGAACUGAAGUCUACUAGAUUCCAACUUGCUAAAAGCCAGCUGCGUGGCCCAUUCUGGCAUUUAAAUCGUCCUUUUCAUCCAUCUUUUUCUUUUUUUCAGUGACCAUUGAAUCUACAUCAGAUAAAGAUGCAGAGACAUACAGAGUGAAGUCCGCAAGAGGAAAAGGAGGUGACCGCAGAAGUGGGUGUUGGUCAAAACUCUAAAAAAGGGGUCCAUGGAAGUUUCUCAUAAGAUACAUAAAGGCUGCCAUUUUGCAAUUUCUAAAGGAAAUAAAGGCUGCCAUUUCUAAAGUCCACUGAAAUAUUGCUUGUUCAGGAAUCAGGACUUGUCCCUGUCAUUUUGACUGUGGUUCACCGGUGUUCUUACCUUUAGGGCGAUUCUUUGGCGGGUUGCACUCUAUUGUCCGUAGUCUGCACUGACUCCCAGAAUAAGCAAUCUGAGCAUCCAUUAUUCCCUAGUUAAUGCCCCCAUGGUACAAACGAGUACUAACAUUACAUUACCUAUAUGAUACUGUUUACUCAUUAUGUUCUCACGUUUCCUAUCACCAAUUUCAUAGCAAAGAAAUUAUUCAGAAAAUAAGAAUUACAGAACAAAGAAUUAAAAAAAACUCAUAAGAAAAGAGCAUGAUUGGGA